rnacentral:tRNA from 1 species
GCUAAGUUAGCAGAUAUUAAUGUGCUUGAUUUAGGUUCAAGAGGAGGAAUUUAUUUUCAUUUAGUA